rnacentral:lncRNA from 1 species
AGCGUUCUUGGCAUCUCGCUGCCCUUCCACUGCCAUCCAUCAGCCCUCCACAACCGCCCAAAGCAAUUCCCACAAUUGCUUAAAAGAUCGUCGCCGAAUUCCGCCAUCAUCUCCACCACCGCGGAUCAUCCUUUGAUCUCCCCGUGAAUUACAACAGGUUCUGAUUUCCUACCUUACUGCUCCUGCAAUUUAGUUAUCCUUAUUCGAAAAUCCAAAAAAAAAAACUGUUCCUAUAUUGCUGCAUAAACCUUUCGUCACAAAGUUUUCAUCUCUACGACGAAAGAUACAUUGCAGAAUUC